rnacentral:rRNA from 1 species
AUGGGGAAACCCAGUGCAAUUCGUUGCACUAUCGUUAACUGAAUACAUAGGUUAACGAGGCGAACCGGGGGAACUGAAACAUCUAAGUACCCCGAGGAAAAGAAAUCAACCGAGAUUCCCCCAGUAGCGGCGAGCGAACGGGGAGCAGCCCAGAGUCUGAAUCAGCUUGUGUGUUAGUGGAACGGUCUGGAAAGUCCGACGGUACAGGGUGAUAGUCCCGUACACCAAAAUGCACAGGCUGUGAACUCGAAGAGUAGGGCGGGACACGUGGUAUCCUGUCUGAAUAUGGGGGGACCAUCCUCCAAGGCUAAAUACUCCUGACUGACCGAUAGUGAACCAGUACCGUGAGGGAAAGGCGAAAAGAACCCCGGCGAGGGGAGUGAAAAAGAACCUGAAACCGUGUACGUACAAGCAGUGGGAGCACCUUCGGGUGUGACUGCGUACCUUUUGUAUAAUGGGUCAGCGACUUAUAUUCUGUAGCAAGGUUAACCGUAUAGGGGAGCCGCAGGGAAACCGAGUCUUAACUGGGCGUUAAGUUGCAGGGUAUAGACCCGAAACCCGGUGAUCUAGCCAUGGGCAGGUUGAAGGUUGGGUAACACUAACUGGAGGACCGAACCGACUAAUGUUGAAAAAUUAGCGGAUGACUUGUGGCUGGGGGUGAAAGGCCAAUCAAACCGGGAGAUAGCUGGUUCUCCCCGAAAGCU